rnacentral:lncRNA from 1 species
ACCCUCUUUGUCAAUUCACCUUCCUCUAAGUUAACUAUGGCUGCUCCACCUGUCUUUAGGGAAACCUACUCCCCAUCGCGCUGGGUGUUUUGGAGUUUUUAAAAGCGUCGCGGGGUAAAGUCAGUGUUGUGCUUUUCCUUUUCUCAGCAGGGGUGACCCUGGAGAUCAUUACCAAAAUUUAAAAAUUUCACCACUGGGCACACAUGUUACCCUUCUCGUGAUGGCAUGGCAAAGCUUGAUUUGCAAGAGUUUCUUUUGGAUUGUCCCCAAUGAUUCCCUUUAAAAAUAGGAGCUCCUUCAAGCUCCUGUAUCAGCAGUGCUUGCACCUCAUAGGUGAUGAUCAUGAGGGGGACAAGGAGCCUCUAGACUUAAGAGACAAGUUGCCAGCAUUCUCCAGAUGGAGUGUUUCCCUCCGCAGCACCCCCUGCUGGUCAGUUUGACAAGCAGGUGAACAGAAGUUCUCAAAUACACAAUAGUAGAUUCUAUCAAUCAAGUUUCAUAAAGAGUUCUGAUUCCCAGAGCUUGGAUUGUAAGCUCCUCAAGAGCAUGGCUGUGUCCUUUAACAUCAG